rnacentral:rRNA from 1 species
AUGACAAAGCCAAAGCAUCUAGGCGGCCUGGGCUUCAGGGAUCUGGAGAUCUUUAAUCUUGCCUUACUAUUGAAGCAGGCGUGGAGGUUGCUACAAAACCCUACAUCUUUGAGCGCCCGUAUUCUUAAGGGGGUUUAUUUUCCUGAUGUGUCUCUCUUUGAAGCAACCCUUGGGAACCAUCCAUCACAAAUUUGGCGGGCAAUCCUUGAUGGGCGAGAUAUUAUGGUGCAGGGACUUGUGAGAAGAAUUGGUAACGGCGAAACCACGAACAUCUGGCGUGAUAACUGGCUACCUCGUACACACAUGAAGCGCCCAUUGACCUCUCUGAUUCAACAUCCUCCUCAUAAAGUGUCUGAACUCAUCAACACUGCUACAUGCUCCUGGAACGAGCAACUGGUUCGUGCUACCUUUGUUCCCAUCGAUGCAGAAUCUAUCAUGAAAAUUCCUCUCUGUACCAGACAGGUUGAGGACUUUUGGGCUUGGAGCGAGGAUAGACGGGGUAUCUUCUCUGUCAGAUCUGCUUACCACAUGAUCCACCAGAAGAAGCUGAGCAGAGAUGCAUGGUUAUAUGAGCAAGGGGGGUCGUCCCACACACAAGCUAAUAAUGAAAUCUGGACAAAGCUAUGGGUUUUCAACAUUCCAUCAAAACUUAAGAUGUUCCUUUGGAGAUUUGUGAAGAACACCACACCAACCGGGGCACUUUUGCAUCACCGAAACAUAGCGGAGACGCCUGCUUGCGGUCUUUGCGGAGCGGAAGACACUUGGAGACACGCUUUGCUAAACUACAUGGUUUCCCGGAGUACAUGGGCCUUGUCUUCUGAGAAUAUCAUCGACGCAUUGAGUAAGAAUGAGGAAGGGGAUGCGAAGAGCUGGCUCUCUGUCAUGCACGAGGUACUACCCCAGGAGAGUUUUACAACACUCGUGGUCGCACUAUGGGCCUUGUGGGGAGCGCGCCGUAAGGCGAUCUAUGAGCAAAUAUACCAAAGUCCUUUUCAGGUUCAUGGUUUUAUUCAGUCCUACAUGAGGGAAUUGCAGGCUAUCAAAACUGUUAAAGCAAGGCAGGGUGGCAACUCUGUUCCUCGCCCAAUAAGCUGGAUUCCCCCUCCAUCAGGGUUGACAAAACUGAAUGUAGAUGCUGCAGUUGGAAGGGGCAGUGGACACGGCUCGGUUGCGGCGAUAUCAAGAAACUCUGAUGGCCUUUUCCGGGAGCGUCGGCGGUGGUUUUUGCAGGUAUUUCCGAUCCGGCCACGCUUGAGUGCAUGGCGAUCAGGGAGGCGUUGGCCCUGGCAGACGACCUGA